GGAUGAUGUGUGUUUCUGGAGUGAAUGCAGUUUGUGUGGUGGAUGGUGUGUGUAUAUUAAAUGUGGUGUGUGUGUUUGUGUAGUGGAUACAUUUUGUGUGUUUGUGUAGUGGAUGCAGUGUGUAUUUGUUUAGAAGAUGCUGUGUGUGUUUGUGGAGUGAAAGCAGUUUGUGUGGAGGAUGGUGUGUGUGGUGGAUGUGUCUUUAUGUUAAAUUUUAUUAAUAAAAAAAAAAAAAGUCUAAUCAUUUUAUUAUUUCAAAAAAUGUUUUAUUUCCUCCCUUCCCUGUCUCUUUCCUGUAGCCAGGGAGGGGUACACUGGAUUCCCUGGUGGUCCAGUCGGUGGCUCAGCUUAUUGGGCCAUCACACAGGGGCCCUGCAGUCUUUAUCUUUCCCCUUCGGGCUCUACUUCUGUUACGAGACCGGCAUGCAUUGCGUGCCGCGGAUCGCUG